GUUAGGAAUAUUGGACAAUGGGCGCAAGCCUGAUCCAGCCAUGCCGCGUGAGUGAUGAAGGCCUUCGGGUUGUAAAGCUCUUUAGCCGAUGAUUAUAAUGACUGUAGUCGGAAAAUAAGCCCCGGCUAACUUCGUGCCAGCAGCCGCGGUAAUACGAAGGGGGCGAGCGUUAUUCGGAAUCACUGGGCGUAAAGCGUGCGUAGGCGGCUUUGCAAGUUGGGAGUGAAAGCCCAGGGCUCAACCCUGGAAUUGCUCUCAAAACUGCAAGGCUAGAAUUCGGGAGAGGAUAGCGGAAUUGUCAGUGUAGCAGUGAAAUGCGUAGAUAUUGACAGGAACACCAGUGGCGUAAGCGGCUAUCUGGACCGAUAUUGACGCUGAGGCACGAAAGCGUGGGGAUCAAACAGGAUUAGAAACCCGAGUAGUCC
rnacentral:rRNA from 1 species